CGGCGUCCCCCCGGCGGUACAACCUUCAAAACUCUGCAUAAUUGUCAUCUGAGCAUAAAGUUAAUUCAAUAAAACUUUCAACAACGGAUCUCUUGGUUCUGGCAUCGAUGAAGAACGCAGCGAAAUGCGAUAAGUAAUGUGAAUUGCAGAAUUCAGUGAAUCAUCGAAUCUUUGAACGCACAUUGCGCCCUUUGGCAUUCCGAAGGGCAUGCCUGUUCGAGCGUCAUUACACCAAUCAAGCCUGGCUUGGUAUUGGGCGACGGGGCUUGCUUCGAGCACCCGCGCCUCAAUGACCUCUCCGGCGGGACGGACCGUAUCUCAGCGUUGUGGUAAAAAGCCGCUGGCGAGACGGGACGGCCGUGCCGUUAAACCUCCAUUUUCUUAAGGUUGACCUCGGAUCAGGUAGGGAUACCCGCUGAACUUAAGCAUAUCAAUAA
rnacentral:rRNA from 1 species